rnacentral:rRNA from 1 species
GAUGAACGCUGGCGGCGUGCCUAAUACAUGCAAGUCGAGCGAACACACGAGGAGCUUGCUCCUCUGACGUUAGCGGCGGACGGGUGAGUAACACGUGGAUAACCUACCUAUAAGACUGGGAUAACUUCGGGAAACCGGAGCUAAUACCGGAUAAUAUAUUGAACCGCAUGGUUCAAUAGUGAAAGACGGUUUUGCUGUCACUUAUAGAUGGAUCCGCGCCGCAUUAGCUAGUUGGUAAGGUAACGGCUUACCAAGGCAACGAUGCGUAGCCGACCUGAGAGGGUGAUCGGCCACACUGGAACUGAGACACGGUCCAGACUCCUACGGGAGGCAGCAGUAGGGAAUCUUCCGCAAUGGGCGAAAGCCUGACGGAGCAACGCCGCGUGAGUGAUGAAGAUCUUCGGAUCGUAAAACUCUGUUAUUAGGGAAGAACAAAUGUGUAAGUAACUAUGCACGUCUUGACGGUACCUAAUCAGAAAGCCACGGCUAACUACGUG